GGCGGCAACAGCGCGGUGGUCCCACCUGACCCCAUGCCGAACUCAGAAGUGAAACGCCGUAGCGCCGAUGGUAGUGUGGGGUCUCCCCAUGCGAGAGUAGGGAACUGCCAGGC
rnacentral:rRNA from 1 species